UACAGAGACCUCAAGCGUUAUCCGGAUUUACUGGGCGUAAAGCGUGCGUAGACGGUAGCGUAAGUCAGAUGUGAAAGCCCCGGGCUCAACCUGGGAAUUGCAUUUGAGACUGCUCUGCUCGGGUGCGGAAGAGGGAAGCGGAAUUUCCGGUGUAGCGGUGAAAUGCGUAGAUAUCGGAAGGAACACCAGUGGCGAAAGCGGCUUCCUGGUCCGACACCGACGUUCAGGCACGAAAGCGUGGGGAGCAAACAGG
rnacentral:rRNA from 1 species